AUACGGAGGGUGCAAGCAUUGUUCGGGAUUACUGGGCGUAAAGCGCGCGUAGGUGGUCUGUCAUGUCAGAUGUGAAAGUCCACGGCUCAACCGUGGAAGUGCAUUUGAGACUGGCAGACUUGAGUACUGGAGGGGGUAGUGGAAUUCCCGGUGUAGAGGUGAAAUUCGUAGAUAUCGGGAGGAAUACCGGUGGCGAAGGCGACUACCUGGCCAGAUACUGACACUGAGGUGCGAAAGCGUGGGGAGCGAACAGGAUUAGAAACCCCAGUAGUCC
rnacentral:rRNA from 1 species